rnacentral:antisense_RNA from 1 species
CUCAAUGGUGGAGCCGAGCGGGGGCGCCAUUAGGCGCACCGGUGUCCAGUGAGGCCGGGAGUUCCAACCCUGUUCGGUUCCGCCACCAAU